GAUGAACGCUGGCGGCGUGCCUAAUACAUGCAAGUCGAGCGAACAGACGAGGAGCUUGCUCCUCUGACGUUGGCGGCGGACGGGUGAGUAACACGUGGAUAACCUACCUAUAAGACUGGGAUAACUUCGGGAAACCGGAGCUAAUACCGGAUAAUAUAUUGAACCGCAUGGUUCAAUAGUGAAAGACGGUUUUGCUGUCACUUAUAGAUGGAUCCGCGCCGCAUUAGCUAGUUGGUAAGGUAACGGCUUACCAAGGCAACGAUGCGUAGCCGACCUGAGAGGGUGGUCGCCCACCCGAGAACUGGAACGGGCCCAAGACGCCUGCGGGAGGCGCAAGGGGGGAUUCUUCCGGAAUGGGGGAAGGCCGGACGGAGCAACGCCGGGGGAGUAAUAAGGGUCUUCGGAUCGAAAAACUCUUUUAUUAGGGAAAAAAAAAUGGGUAAGUAACUAUGCACGUCUGGACGGUACCUAAUAAGAAAGCCACGGCAAACUACGGG
rnacentral:rRNA from 1 species